rnacentral:rRNA from 1 species
GACGAACGCUGGCGGCGUGCUUAACACAUGCAAGUCGAACGGAAAGGCCCUGCUUUUGUGGGGUGCUCGAGUGGCGAACGGGUGAGUAACACGUGAGUAACCUGCCCUUGACUUUGGGAUAACUUCAGGAAACUGGGGCUAAUACCGGAUAGGAGCUCCUGCUGCAUGGUGGGGGUUGGAAAGUUUCGGCGGUUGGGGAUGGACUCGCGGCUUAUCAGCUUGUUGGUGGGGUAGUGGCUUACCAAGGCUUUGACGGGUAGCCGGCCUGAGAGGGUGACCGGCCAAAUUGGGAAUGAGAUACGGCCCAGACUCCUAAGGGAGGCAGGAGUGGGGAAUAUUGCAAAAUGGGCGGAAGCCUGAUGCAGCAACGCCGCGUGCGGGAUGACGGCCUUCGGGUUGUAAACCGCUUUCGCCUGUGACGAAGCGUGAGUGAAGGUAAUGGGUAAAGAAGCACCGGCUAACUACGUG